AUGAAUAAUGUAUGCUAAUUGUGUGGGCGGUGCAAACUUAAAUUAAAGACAAAAACUUGAAAAAGGAACCAAUUUUUGAAGAGUGAGAUCGGGAGCAACAGAAAAGAUCAUCAUUCAUUUCAAUAAUAGCACAAAAGUCCAUCUAGCCAAAAUAUGGCAAAGCAACUAGCGUAAGCAGAUUUAUCCAUCAAUACAAUUGCUCUAUUUUAAUUUAAAUGACCAAAAUAUCUUUGAUGUGUUAGAACUGAUGUAUAUUGAUCUCUGCCUGCUGCUUUGGCACUGAAACUCCCUUUUAUUAUAUAUAUAUAUGUGUGAAAAUAACCACAGAGAUGAUGGUCGAAAUACUUAUCGAUCAGAGGAUAAUUGUAAAAAUCAAGAAAAAAUGUGCUUAUUUAUGAUAUACAUAGCUGAAGAAGAAGUUGUACUAUUGCAGGAGUUCACGUCAAAACCAAUUGGUUUUCCACUAUUCCAGCCUCGUCCCUCCGGCCUCUGCAACUUGUUUACCUCAGCUUUUGUCCCUGGUCCUUUAUUUGAUUUCGUUUUCUGUGUUCAUGUUCUUUGGUAAAUAUUACCAAGUUUUGAGACCUUUCAAUUGACUAAGAAAGUCAUAUGAUGUCAGGGGCAUUGUUAAUCAACGCAAUACAAUUAUUUGCCACUUCUUUAUUCCUAUAAUACUUUAUCUGUGCUCAUAUAUUUUCAUAAAUCUAUGCAAUAUUGAACAUUUU
rnacentral:lncRNA from 1 species